GAGUGGUGUUCCGCUGCAUACUGCGCCUUACCCAUAAUCCAUCACACCAAGAGAAUUUCUUUCAGUUUGGGACAAUGAUUCCUCGUUAUACCAUCGGCUGCUGGAUUCUGUUGUUUUUUUCACCAGGAUAUGUUCACGUUCUUGCCAAAGUUGAAGUCGUCCGAGUAGCAAGGGGAUUGGACGCCACGUUACGCUGCCCAUCAAAGACGAGUUUUAAACCAACGUGGGAAUGGAACGUGACACCGGGAAGUAACAUCCAGACGUUGGUGUUGGAGAGCACUGCGUAUCUGCUGGUGGAAAAUUUUCAGAAGAUGAACGAGGGUCUGUACUAUUGUGUCAAUGAAACAGAUAAAAAAUCUGUGGUGAAACUGGAAAUACAAGAAGGUGUAAAAAAUCUCACACCUGAAUUGUUCAGACGCCCUAAGACGGGCCCGUUGCAGCUCUUUUGUGAAGCUCUGUCCGGUGCGAAGCUUGAGGGGAUUUGGAGGCGGGAACAGACGGCUUCUGAAGGAGAUUCCUGCAAACGGCAUGGCACGGAUCUUGCGCUCAUUGAAAAUCGGUCUGAAGUAAAGAAUUGGGCUGACAACAAAUUUGAGCUGCGCAUCUCCCCGCUGCUUUGGGAAGACCAUGGACACUACCGAUGCGUUGUGUGUAAAGACCGCGGAAUU